rnacentral:rRNA from 1 species
AGACCUCUGAUCAGAAAAGACUACCCGCUGAAUUUAAGCAUAUCACUAAGCGGAGGAGAAGAAACUAACCAGGAUUUCCCUAGUAACGGCGAGCGAACCGGAAAGAGCCCAGCUUGAAAAUACGCGG